rnacentral:rRNA from 1 species
UACGUAGGGUCCGAGCGUUGUCCGGAAUACUGGGCGUAAAGCGUGCGCAGGCGGUGAUGUAAGACAGUUGUGAAAUCCCCGGGCUCAACCUGGGAAUGGCGAUGAAGACUGCAAGGCUAGAAUCUGGCAGAGGGGGGGUAGAAUUCCACGUGUAGCAGUGAAAUGCGUAGAGAUGUGGAGGAACACCGAUGGCGAAGGCAGCCCCCCUGGGUCAAGAUUGACGCUCAUGCACGAAAGCGUGGGGAGCAAACAGG